rnacentral:rRNA from 1 species
UACGAAGGGGGCUAGCGUUGCUCGGAUUGACUGGGCGUAAAGGGCGCGUAGGCGGCUCAGUAAGUCGGGUGUGAAACCUCCAGGCUCAACCUGGAGACGCCACCCGAUACUGCUGUGGCUAGAGUCCAGUAGGGGAGUGUGGAAUUCCCGGUGUAGCGGUGAAAUGCGCAGAUAUCGGGAGGAACACCAGCGGCGAAGGCGGCACUCUGGGCUGGUACUGACGCUGAGGAGCGAAAGCGUGGGUAGCAAACAGG